AUCGCGGGGGGCGGGGCGUCGCGGGCACAGCGUGAGGGCCGCCGUUGCUGGAGUUCAGCUUAGGGAAGGAGGACUCUGAGGAGGCCCCGAGCGGCGGAGCGCUUCGGGGGAGGCGCCCGCGCAGACGCGAGGCCCAUAGCCAGGACCACCACCUAGCUGGUGAGCGCGCGGCGAGGCGGGGCGGCCCGGGGUCCCGAGGGUCGGGUGCCGCCUUACCUGCGGCCGGGCGGCCGGGCCGGGGAUGGCGGGCGCCGGCCGAGGGCGCUGCUUGGCUGCGGCGGGGAGACCGGGCCUGGGUUGCGUCGGGCGGCGGCCUGGCCGGGGGCGCUGACAGACGCGCGGAGGGCGGGGGAGGCCGGGAGGUGUCACCCGGCCCAGCGGGGUGGAAGUGCCUGGAAAGUUUGUUUUCGGCUUGGCGCAGCCUGGAGCCGAGCCUCCAGGGUUACCUUUCGGUUCUGUCUGUAGAGGAACCGCCCUGGGCUUCCACCUGGAACGGGGUCCUUGGCGCCUCCGCCUGCGAGAGAAGCAGAAGGUGCAAGUUCUUGCUGAAAGCACCUGAUGCUCCUGGGCCCCCUUUUCCAGAUUCUUGAUGACAUUGGUCGGGAAAACUCGCCUUUCACGGCCCGGCCAAGGGGCAUUUGGGUGCUUUUGCUGCCCGUGGCUGUGCUCAGCGUUGUGGGAAGCCCCUGGGAGGCCGAAUGUGCAGGAUCACCGAGGGGAAAGUGAGCUUGACAGGUAGGAGGGAUUUUAGGGGAAGGAUCAAAACAAACCACUUGUUGGGUGAAAUGUUUUGCUAAAUGUAUCGCUGGUGUUUAUUUUCUCUCUGUCGCUAAAAGUAUCCCUCGUGUUUUUAUGUUUUCCAUAUGCUAAGUUCUACAGUCUGGGGACGACGGUUUAAAAAUUUAUGCCUUGCAUGCGAUGUGCAGUGGGUGAUGGAAGAACGUCUACAUGGCUUUAAAAUUGGAUUUAAAAGGCAAAUAUUUUAAAUGAAGGAAAACCCAAGAAGUUUACUUGAUUCCUUAUCUUCCAGGAUGCGACUUUUGUUUAUUUAUUUAUUUUAUUUUGAUGGAGUCUCGCUGCCGUCGCGCAGGCUGGAGUGCAGUGACGCGAUCUUGACCCGGGAACCUCCACCUCCCGGGUUCAAGCGAUUCUCCUUCCUCAACCACCCGAGUAGCUGGGAUUACAGGCGUGUGCCACCAUGCCCGGCUAAUUUUUGUGUUUUUAGUAGAGACCGGGGAAGGUAUGGGCCCUCUUUUGAGAAAAAUGCAGAGUGACACUGAAUUUUGUAACUACAUCAGGAGGCUCUUGAACCUUCUGCAGCUCACUCGUGGAGUUUGUAGAGAUGCGUAAUAAUCCGAAGUGUUAAGGAAGAAGGUUCUGUUGAGAAAAAGUUGGAGGGCUGAAAGGGAUGCCUUUCGCUAUUUCGACAUGUGUGGCUGUACCCCAGAGUGCCCUGGCUAACACGCAAAACCAUGAAUUAGGCGGCUUGGCGAGGCUCAGUGGAGGCUGGGGCCGAGAGUCAUGUCAAAGUUUGUGGGGUUAACCUGCACCCAGUGACAGUCAUGGCGAAGUUUGUGAGGUUAACUCGCACCCAGUAACGCUGUUCCAAUGCAAGGUGUGUAUUUGGUGUCAUCCACGGGAAGAGGAAACAGCAAAUUUUCUCAUGGCCUUGGCAGUUCCACAUGAUGGACAUUUCAUAUCUGCAGUUUUCUUCGCAUGAGAUGGCUUUUUUGCACAAAAACACUGGAAUCCAGUGAGCAAGAAUGAUAGAAUGCAAGAUGGAUUUCCACAUGAGGAAGUGUCACGAACAAGCGUUUUGCAUCUCUGUCAGCUGGAUUCCCCCAUGUGUACGUAUGUGAGAACAUGCCGUGUUUCCUGUCUGUAAUGGUAGAGGCAGCCCUGAUACUGGAUUUUCACCUGAGGAUGGAUAGAUCUUCAGGGUUCAAGUGGGUUUGCAUCUGGACUUUAGGGUGGCCCUGUAGGCCCUGUGUGAGAAGCCCCCUUCCCAGUGAACUUUCCCUUGUGUGCCCGCGUGGACAGCCAACAGGGGGAGCAGUGCGAGCGUGAAGGCAGACAGUGGCCUGGCCCAGUCUGAUGGUAAGUGGGCCAGAGGCAGUGAGUACCAUUUCUUGAUCUGACUACUCAAGACAGGCGCUUCCCUAGGUACUUUCACACCUCAUUGCGAGGUACGUGUUGUUCCCAUUUUACAGGUGCAGAAGCUGAGCUGCAGAGGCGUUAGGUACCUGCCUCAUAAGUGGUAGAGACUCCAGUGUCACCCUGCCCCUCACGUUCGGAGCCCCCGAGGGAGGGUCUGCCGGGCAGCUCAGCCCAGCACUCUGUAAGGAAAUCUUCAGUGCCACUGCCCAGGAUGUCUUCCCGGGGAUUGGGCCUGAAUGUCUUGACCAUGCCGUGCUGGAGGUAGGAGGGGUGUCUUCAUAUGGAAGAACUGUACAUAUUUCUUUGGCAGAUGGCUGAACUCUGUGACCCCGGGGCCUGUUUCAGCCUCCUGCUGUCAGAAAGCAGCUGUUUGGGAAGAGGCUGUGAUUCGGCCUUGUUUGAGGGCCGAUACUCUGAAUGGGUGAGGCUUGGAAUCCUCCCUUUGGAACAAAGAAACAUAAUGAUUUUGCUGAAGGUAGAAUUGGGGGACUAGGCAGAGUGGCCUCCUGCCCUCCCUGGGGUGGUUCUGUCUUUUGCAAAGGUGGCUGCAUCCUUAGGGGAAGGUGAGGGGAGAAGCAGGGAGCAUGGAGAGAAGUGGCUUUCGAUUUUCUCUCUCCUUUUGGGGAGUUCCUCCUUAUGUGGCUGGUCUGGUGCAUAGUGUGAUGUAUUCCUGUACGCAACGUUGCCCUGACAGCCAGUCCAAGCUGAGUCUAGAGCUGGCAAGGUGAGCUCCCAGUAGUAAGAGGGUGUGGGCGGCAAGCCACCCAGGCACCGAGGCAAGAGACAGAGGACACGAGCUGUUCCAGUAUAAUAAAAUAUAAAACAAGAAUAGUUAUACCAGAUAUAGAUCUUAGAUAUGAUUAUAUAUGAAUAUCAUUAAUCAUGAGUUUGCAGCAAUUACUUUUUAUUCCAAUAUUAUGAUAAUCCUCGCUCUAUAAUCAUAGCCUAGGAAAAACCAGGCCAUACAGAGGAGCUGAGGGGACAUAGUGAGGUGUGACCAGAAGACAAGAGUGCGAGGCUUCUGUUAUGCCCGGACAGGGCCACAAGAGGGCUCCUUGGUCUAGCGGUGACGCCAGCGUCUGGGAAGACGCCCGUUACCCGGCGGAUCGUGGCCCAGUGGUAGCAAAAGGUGUCAAGGAACAACACUCACUACUUAGCAGACCGGGAAAGGGGCGGGGGGGGGGUCUCCCUUUCCCCGGGGGAGUUUAGAAAAGACUCUGCUCCUCCACCUCUUGUGGAGGGCCUGACAUCAGUCAGGCUUGCCCGUAGUUAUCCGGAGGCCUAACUGUCUCCCUGUGAUGCUGUGCUUCAGUGGUCACACUCCUUGUCUGCCUUCAUGUUCCAUCCUGUACACCUGGCUCUGCCUUCUAGAUAGCAGUAGUAAAUUAGUGAAAAUACUAAUAGUCCCUGAUAUGCAGAAAUAAUGGUAUAAGCUGUCUUUCUCUCUGUCUCCUCUCCCUCUCUGCCUCGGCUGCCAGGCAGGGAAGGGCCCCCUGUCCAGUGGACACGUGACCCACGUGACCUUACCUAUCAUUGGAGGUGACUCACAUUCUUUACCCUGCCCCUUCUGUCUUGUAUCCGAUAAAUAACAGCGCAGUCAGACAUUCGGGGCCACUACCGGUCUCCGCGCAUUGGUGGUAGUGGUCCCCCGGGCCCAGCUGCCUUUUCUCUUAUCUCUCUGUCUUGUGUCUUUAUUUCUACACUCUCUCAUCGCCACACACAGGGAGAGACCCACCGACCCUGUGGGGCUGGUCCCUACAUCUGGCGCUCUGACGUGGGGCUCUCCCUCGCUGUGUGAAGUUGCACCCUGAGUGCGGGAUCAGCGGAGGAGUUCAACGAGAGAUUCCUGAGGAUUGCAGUCUAUAAACUUGGUGGUAAGCUUGAGCACUCAGUUUUCUGGGGACACCAUGGGACAGGCCAGUACAAAGUAUUUGGCUUAUUUAAAUUUUAUAAAAACUCUUCUUAAAGAAGGAGGUGUUAAAGUUUCUACUGAAAAGUUAAUUGAACUAUUUGAGGUUGUAGAUCUUCUUUGCCCUUGGUUUCCGACUGAGGGAACUCUAGAACUUAAAGAUUGGGUUGAGAUUGGCAAACAAUUCAAAAUUGCUCAUAAAGGGGGACAUUUUAUCCCACCCACCAUUUGGUCAAUCUGGGCUUCGGUUCACUCUGUCUUAGACUCCUUACAGACUCAGGAGGACAAUAUGGAGACUGAUCCCUCUUUCCUCUCCUCUGAGGGAGGUCGAGGAAGCGCUCAGCUCUCUUUCCCCUGAGGAUACUACACAAAUUGAGAACGUAAUUUCAAAGGAGGACUUCCACUCUGACAUGCCUGCACCACUUCCACCUACACCAGAGGCUACUGCACCCCCAUUGCCGCUUUAUGAUGAUCUUUUAACUGACCUAAAUAUACUAAUCUCCCCCAAUCAGCAAAACUCAGCUGAAACAUAUCAACAGCCAUUGCAGCCAGACCCUCCUGUCUCUCCUCACUGUUUCAACGCUGCCGCUGUGCAAAUAGCAGAUGAGACCAGGCAGCCUGUAAACGAGUCUAUAAAUUAUGUUUCUAUGCAGCCCGGUACAGAGGCUCCGCUAUAUGAACAGCUCAGAAAAGAGGCUUCCAAUUCUCGGCCCGGUAAUGAGGCCCUCAAUCCUAUUUCUCCUAAUCGGACUCAGUUAGAGUCACAGACUCCCUUGAAGCCCUUUCCUAUAAAUCAGACUCGAGUAGAGUCACAGUCUCCCUUGAAGCCUGGUUCCUUUCCUGCAAAUCGGACUCAGAGUCACAGGCUCCCUUGAAGCCUGGUCCCUUUCCUAUAAAUCAGACUUGGGUAGAGUCACAGGCUCCCUUGAAGCCUGGUUCCUUUCCUGCAAAUCGGACUCAGAGUCACAGACUCCCUUGAAGCCUGGUUCACACUUGCCGUGGCAGCCUGGUUUUCAGGCCCAUGAAAGACCUGCUCAGCAGGUAAUCUGCUGUCACCCUGGCUUUCAGUUUUUUGACUCUCCUUCUAUUCAAAAUUCUACCUCUUUUUCUGCUCCUGGUCCGGUCGCAACUGCUGUUGCCAAUACUACCAUUGCCGCUCAUAAGCAACAAAUUACAUACAUCCCUGAAGAUGACACUCCGCUUAUGAGGGCUAUAGUUCAAGCAAGGGAAUAUGGGGAUCCUGAAACUUGGCAAUUUCCUGUAAUUUUACAACCUCCAGUACCUGCCACCCCAGCAGUACAAAACCACCCACAGCCUGUUGUUGAUCCUGCCCAGCAGGCGGCUGACCCCGCAGCUCAACAAGAUCAAGAGGCUGAUAAUCAAGCCCCUCAGCCCGAAACUCAGGCUGCUCAGGUAAAUAAUCAGCCUCCGCAGUUGCCUGCUCCUGGGGCACAGCCAAUACCUGGCAUUCCCGCUGUUCAGGUGGUAAUUCAGCCUGACCCCAUCCAUCCAGGCCAGGUUCAGCUACGCCCUGCUACAUGGGAAAGUUUUUCUUUUAAAUUCCUCAAAGAUUUUAAAGAAUCAGUGAAACAAUAUGGCACCAACUCUCCUUUUGUCCGUUCCACAUUAAAAGCCUUAGGAGAAGAUAAACGUUUGGUACCCUAUGAUUGGGAAAUUUUGGCAAAAUCAAGUCUUAUCUAAAUCCCAAUAUUUACAGUUCAGGACUUGGUGGGUUGAUGCUGUCCAGGAACGCAUUUGUCUUAGGGCACUAAUCCUCCUGUUAACGUUAUGGCUGACCAGUUACUGGGAAUGGGUCAAUGGGCCGCAAUCCGACACCAAACUAUACUAAAUGAUGAGGUUAUUGAACAACUGCGAAAAUUGUUGCUUAGAUGCUUGGGACAAAAUUCAAGAUGAUGGUAAAGUAUGCCCAUCUUUCACAGCCGUCAGACAGGGACAACAUGAGCCCUACCCAGACUUUAUUACUCGUCUUCAAGACGCAGCAGAAAAGGCUAUUCCUGAUAGCCACGGCCAAAGACUUGUUGUAGAACUUAUGGCUUAUGAACAAGCAAAUCCAGAUGGUCAGGCGGCUGUUUGCCCCGCCAAAGGUAAAAUUCCACCGGGUGGUGAUAUACUCACCUCCUACAUUAAAGCCUGUGAAGGGGUGGGAGGAACUCUCCAUACAGCAACGAUUAUGGCACAAGCUAUGGCCUCUAUUCGAAUGCCUGGACAAUUCUCUGGCCAAUGCUUCAUAUGCGGCCAGAAGGGACAUGCAGAAAGAAAUUGCCCUCGGCGUGCAGGUGGCCGUCCUUUACAUCACCACCAACAACAAAAAGAAACUUUUCAGCAACAAGACACCCCACCUUCUGCUGUAUGCCCACGAAGCCAAAAGGGUCUUCACUGGGCAUCUCAAUGCCAUUCCAGAUUUGAUAUUGAUGGCAAUCCUGUACGGCCUUUUAAAAAUCAGGGAAACGGGAUGAGGGGCCGGCCCCAGCCCCCUCUAAACAAUGGGGCAUUCCUCAACUCUCAGCCGCUGGCGUCCAGCCAGACAGGAGCCUUCCCAGUUUAAUCCAUUCAACCUCCACCCCAAUUCCCACUUCAGCAAUUUGUGCCACAGGAUCUAAUGCCUCAGCCCCAACACCAAUCUCAGUACAAUGCUUGUCCCCCGUCACCACAGGCUCAGCAGCAGUAGAUCUCUGUUGUACCAGAAAUAUUUCUUUUGUUGCCUGGAGAGCCACGUAUUGCUGUUCCUACAGGUGUUUUUGGUCCCUUGCCGACUGGCAGUGUCGGGUUGCUACUGGGACGUUCAAGUUUAAAUUUAAAAGGUGUUCAAGUACAUACUGGUGUAAUUGAUUCUGACUAUUCAGGUAAAAUUCAUAUUAUCAUUAGCUCUGCAGUCCCUUGGAAUGCAGCAGCUGGGGACCGCAUUGCUCAACUCUUGAUAUUUCCUUACAUUCCUUUGGGAUCUAGUUCUAGUACAAGAAAGGGAGGUUUUGGUAGCACAGAUUAUCAAGGUAAAGCAGCCUACUGGGCCAGCAAAAUUUCUGACACUCGUCCUGUGUGCUCCGUGCAUAUUCAGGGAAAAAAGUUUGAGGGAAUGAUUGACACGGGCGCUGGUGUGUCCAUUAUCGCUUUACAUCGAUGGCCCCGACACUGGCCAAAGGAGCAUGCCUCCACAGCAUUCGUGGGUGUUGGUCAGGCUUCACAGGUAUAUGAAAGUUCCACAAUUUUACAUUGCACAGGCCUGAAGGACAGAUUGGAACUAUUCGCCCCCUCAUUACACCCAUUCCUGUUAAUUUGUGGGGAAGAGAUCUUUUAUAUCAAUGGGGGGCUCAGAUUACUUUUCCUAAAGGCAGUUACAGCCAGCAGAGUAAAGAUAUGAUGACCAAAAUGGGAUUUGUUCAAGGUCUGGGUUUAGAAAAAUCAGCACAAGGCAUCACUGAGCAUAUCAUACCUACUCCUAAAGCAGACUCUACAGGACUUGGUUAUUCUUUUUAGAAGUGGUCACUAUCAAGCCUCCAGAACCCAUCCCUUUGACCUGGAGAACUUAAAAACCUGUCUAGGUAGAUGAGUGGCUGCUCCCAAAAAAUAAGCUGGAGGCACUUCAUAUUUUGGUUCUUGAACAGUUAAAAUUGGGACACAUUGAACCUUCUUUUUCUCCUUGGAAUUCACCUGUUUUUGUUAUUCAAAAGAAAUCUGGUAAGUGGAGAAUGCUUACUGAUCUUAGGGCAGUAAAUGCUGUCCUUCAGCCUAUGGGGACAUUACAACCCAGUUUGCCCUCCCCCAGUAUGAUUACUGAGUAUUGGCCACUUAUCAUCAUUGACCUUAAAGAUUGCUUUUUUACCAUUCCUCUGGCCCCUCAGGACUUUGAAAAAUUUGCUUUCACUGUUCCAGCCCUUAACAACGUUGCUCCUGCAGCACGUUACCAUUGGAAAGUCCUACCUCAAGGUCUGCUCAAUAGCCCCACUAUUUGUCAAUAUUAUGUGGGAUGCAUAUUAAAGCCAGUUAGAGAUAAAUUUCCCCAAUGUUAUAUUAUUCAUUACACAGAUGAUAUUCUUUGUGCAGCACCUUCACGCUCUGUAUUAAUAUCUUGUUUUUCUGCAUUACAGCAAGUGGUCACAGCAGCUGGCUUGGUUAUCGCCCCAGAAAAAAUUCACACUUCAUCUCCUUAUCACUAUUUAGAGAUGCAGCUAGAGGAUAAGGUCAUUAAGCCUCAAAAAGUUCAACUCAGACGAGACUCUUUAAAAACUCUAAAUGAUUUCCAAAAAUUAUUUGGAGAUAUUAAUUGGAUUCGUCCCUCCCUACGCAUUCCUACUUAUGCUGUGUCUAAUCUUUUUGCAAUAUUACGGGGCAAUCCUGAUUUACGCAGUAAAAGGUCUUUGACUCCUGAGGCAGAUUCUAAAUUACGACUUAUAAAAAAAUGCAUUCAACAGUCUCAGGUUACCAGAGUAAAUCCACAUUUACCUUUUGAAGUACUAAUUUUUCCCACUGAACAUUCACCAACAGGACUCAUUAUUCAGGGACAUAAUUUAAUUGAAUUGUGUUUUCUCCCACACAGCUCUUUACGUACACUAACUAUCUAGAUCAAAUUUCUACCUUAAUUGGUCAGGCUCGUUCUCGUCUCCUUCGUCUUUCAGGAACAGAGCCUCAAAAAAUCGUUGUUCCCCUUACCCGAUUACAAGUUCAACAGGCUUUGCUACUUGCAUUGCUUGGCAAGUGCAUUUGGCACGUUUCCCAGGUAUAAUUGAUAAUCACUAUCCUCAUGUAAAAUUAUUUCAGUUCCUUAAACUCACGUCUUGGAUUUUACGUAACAUUACUAGAAACACCCCAUUACCUGAAGCUGUCACUGUUUUCACUGAUGCUUCCUCUAAUGGCCGAGCAGCAUAUACAGGACCCAGAGAACGUGUUCUUAACACAGGGGCUAUUUCAGCACAACGAGCUGAACUGCCUGCUGUUAUGGCUGUCCUUGAAGAUUUUCCUGAGCCAGUUAACAUUUUCUCUGACUCAGCGUAUGUCGUACAUGUUGCUCGCAACAUUGAAACUGCCUUAAUCAAAUUUCUGCCUGAUGAUAACCUAUUCCUUCUUUUUCAAAAGUUUCAGUCUGUGCUCAGAGCAAGGUCUUCUCCUUUCUACAGUACUCACAUUCGGGCCCACACACCCCUCCCCGGACCCCUCUCGGCAGCAAAUGCCAGAGCUGAUACAUUAGUUACUCCCGUUUUUACAGAUGCAGAAAAUUUUCAUGCUUUAACUCACGUCAAUGCUGCGGGACUCCGAAACAAGUUCCCCCUUACAUGGAAGCAAGCUAAAACUACUGUGCGUCACUGUCCUACUUGUCAAGUGUUAAUUUUACCACCACUGUCUUCAGGAGUUAACCCUAGAGGACUUUCACAGAAUGCUCUUUGGCAAAUGGAUGUGACUCAUUAUCCUCCUUUUGGCAAGCUUUCUUUUAUACAUGUAACUAUUGAUACCUUUUCUCAUUUUAUUUGGGCCACUUGUGAAACGGGCGAAAGUACAGCUCAUGGUAAACGACAUGUGCCUUCCUGUUUCUCGGUUAUGGGCUGUUCUGAGAAACUAAAAACUGAUAACGGCCCCGCCUACACUAGUGCUGCUUUUAAAAAGUUUCCUCAGACAUGGGCAAUUACUCACACAACGGGCAUUCCCUAUAACUCUGGAGAACAGGCCUUGGUUGAACGAGCCAAUAAAACACUCAAAGAUCAACUUCGUAAACAGGAUACUAAAUCAAAGGGAGAUGCUAUUACUCCUCAUGCCCAAUUAAAUCUGGCUCUUUUCACACUAAAUUUCUUAAACUUAACAAGAAAUCAACCUUUCACAGCCGCAGAACAACAUUUCACUGGAAAUAAAUUUGAUCCACAAAAAGGAAUGCGGGUAUGGUGGAAGGACGUAAAAACUAACACAUGGGAAUUAGGCACGGUCAUAACUUGGGGUAGGGGUUUUGUUUGUGUUUCCCCAGGAAAAGAACUACAGCCUGUGUGGGUCCCCUCCCGACAAUUAAAAUUGCACCAUAACUCCAAAGAUGAAACGCUCCCAGAAAGAAAAGGCAAAGACCCAUCGGAAACAAAAGAGCAACUUUCACCGCCUGAUACAUACACUUCAUGACAUCCACAUUGAGACAAAAUCUCGCCGUGUGACCUACAACACCUCUCGUUCAACCCCACCUACUUGGGGUCGAAUACAGAUUUUAUCUCAUCAAACAGAAAAAUUCUUAACAGAAAAAGGAAUCCCAAAAAUGACUGGUAAUAUAAUUCUGGCUGCCUUUAUGGUAGUCAGUGCAGCGGUAAGUAUACCACCGGUCGGGGCAACUCAAAAUUAUACUUAUUGGGCAUAUGUUCCUUUUCCCCUUCUAAUUCGGUCUGUCUCCUGGAGGGACUCUCCAGUAGAAGUUUACACUAAUAAUAGUGCAUUCAUGCCGAUCCCUAAUGAUGAUCGGUUUCCAGCUCAACCGGAAGAAGAAGGUAUGCACUUUAAUCUGUCAAUUGGCUAUAAAUAUCCACCAUUAUGUAUUGGGAAGUCGCCUGGUUGUUUAGCUUAUUCUUAACAGAAUUGGAUGUGGACUGUACCGUCCUUUACAAAUGAUUCUUAUCAAGUAUAUAAUGUGUUCAGUACUAACUCUUUUCAACUUCUCACUGUCAAACGUACCCCACAUGAGGCAUGGAGAGUUCCUCUCACUACCAAAACUAAUAAAACAAAAGGACUGCCGGACUGUCCAAAGAAACCUACAAAUGGGCCUUUUAUAGUGACUUCAAUUUUAUGGGAUAAUUGUAAUGCUCCCAAGGCUGUUGUACUCCAAACUCUAGCCAUGGGUAUUGUUAUUGAUUGGGCUCCAAAAGGACAUUAUUGGCAAGAUUGCUCCAGCAAAAAUACCUUAUGCUCGGAGUUUAUUUAUUCCUUAGAUUAUAUAGAGCAUGGGUGGCAGUCUUACACGAUGAGACAACGGGUGUCUCCUUACCCAUUUAAAUGGAUGGACACAGGUAUUGCUCCUCCUAGACCAAAAAUUAUUCAUCCCUUUUUUACCCCAGAACAUCCUGAACUAUGGAAAUUAGCUGCAGCUUUGUCGGGAAUAAAGAUAUGGAACACUACCUAUCAGCUCCUUCGUACUAAAACCAAAACACCCACAUUCAACAUCACCCUUAUUUCUGAAUGGGUGAUACCCAUUAGGAGCUGUGUCAAACCCCCUUACAUGCUGUUGGUUGGAAAUAUAAUUAUGAUGCCUGAUGCACAAACUAUAGAAUGUCAUAACUGUAAGCUGUUCACUUGCAUUGAUGCAACUUUUAAUCCCACUACAAGUAUUCUCUUGGUAAGGGCUAGGGAGGGGGUAUGGAUACCAGUUUCUCUACAUCGUCCAUGGGAGUCUUCCCCCUCUAUUCACAUAGUCAAUGAAGUUCUUAAAGACAUCCUCAAAAGAACAAAGAGAUUUAUUUUUACUCUUAUUGCAGUCCUUGCAGGACUACUUGCGGUUACUGCAACAGCAGCAACUGCUGGAGUUGCCAUCCGCAGUUCUGUUCAAACUGCUCACUAUGUUGAAGCAUGCCAGAAAAAUUCCUCCAGACUUUGGAAUUCUCAGGCGCAAAUUGAUCAAAAAUUAGCUAAUCAGAUUAAUGAUCUCCGCCAAAGUGUAACCUGGCUGGGAGAUAGAGUUAUGAACUUGCAACACCGUAUGCAAUUACAGUGUGAUUGGAAUACUUCUGAUUAUUGCAUAACGCCUUAUGCUUAUAAUCAAGAUCAACAUAGCUGGGAAAAUGUCUCAAGACAUUUAAAAGCCUGGGAUGAUAACUUAACCUUGGAUAUUUCACAACUUAAAGAGCAAAUCUUUGAGGCUUCACAAGCCCAUUUAUCCACAGUUCCUGGCUCACACAUUUUUGAAGGCAUAACUAAACAAUUACCUGAUUUUAAUCCCUUCAAAUGGCUCAAACCCGUCAGAGGAUCAUUGUUGUUACUGGCAUUAUUAAUAUUGGUAUGCUUAUGUUGUCUCCUUUUAGUCUGCAGAUGCCUCUAAGGAGUCCGAAACCAAGUCCGAAGUCAACAACAAGCAAUGAUGGCGAUGGCGAUUCUAGUUAAUAAAAAGGGGGGAGAUGUGGGCGGCAAGCCACCCAGGCACCGAGGCAAGAGACAGAGGACACGAGCUGUUCCAGUAUAAUAAAAUAUAAAACAAGAAUAGUUAUACCAGAUAUAGAUCUUAGAUAUGAUUAUAUACGAAUAUCAUUAAUCAUGAGUUUGUAGCAAUUACUUUUUAUUCCAAUAUUAUGAUAAUCCUCGCUCUAUAAUCAUAGCCUAGGAAAAACCAGGCCAUACAGAGAUAGGAGCUGAGGGGACAUAGUGAAGUGUGACCAGAAGACAAGAGUGCGAGCCUUCUGUUAUGCCCGGACAGGGCCACCAGAGGGCUCCUUGGUCUAGCGGUGACGCCAGCGUCUGGGAAGACACCCGUUACCAGGCGGAUCGUGGCCCAGCCGUAGCAAAAGGUGUCAAGGAACACCUUUUGCAAAAGGUGUCAACACCCGCUACUUAGCAGACUGGGAAAGGGGGGCGGUCUCCCUUUCCCCGGGGGAGUUUAGAGAAGACUCUGUUCCUCCACCUCUUGUGGAGGGCCUGACAUCAGUCAGGCUUGCCCGUAGUUAUCCGGAGGCCUAACUGUCUCCCUGUGAUGCUGUGCUUCAGUGGUCACGCUCCUAGUCUGCCUUCAUUUUCCAUCCUGUACACCUGGCUCUGCCUUCUAGAUAGCAGUAGUAAAUUAGUGAAAAUACUAAUAGUCCCUGAUAUGCAGAAAUAAUGGCAUAAGCUGUCUUUCUCUCUGUCUCCUCUCCCUCUCUGCCUCGGCUGCCAGGCAGGGAAGGGCCCCCUGUCCAGUGGACACAUGACCCAUGUGACCUUACCUAUCAUUGGAGGUGACUCACAUUCUUUACCCUGCCCCUUCUGCCUUGUAUCCAAUAACAGCGCAGUCAGACAUUCAGGGCCACUACCGGUCUCCGCACAUUGGUGGUAGUGGUCCCCCGGGCCCAGCUGCCUUUUCUCUU
ensembl:lncRNA ERVK13-1 endogenous retrovirus group K13 member 1